GAGCUGCAAGCUUCAGAGUGCUAGAAAUAACACUGCAGAGGGCUGCAGCCACACUCCUGCUUCUCCAGACGCUCUGGAGCACCAACAUUUCCUACUGCUCUAACAGGCGAGCUCAACCUGAACAUAAAUGUGGAUAAUUUCAGAAAUGGAUGAGUUUUCUGGCUUGUCAGGAUGAUCCAGAAAAGGGGGGAAGAGAAGGAAAGUCUGAACAGCACAGCACAGAAAUAAAAUGGAAACACAACAUAAUUUGGACAACCAAAAGUGUUUAAUUCCACCUAAUGUGACAGUGAUUUCACGGCAAUGGGGAACAAGUCAUAUCUGACUCCUGCAAGCAGUGUGCUGAAGCCGGCUGACAACAUCCAGGAGUGAGCCAUGGUGAUGGUGUUCUGCAGGGACCAGCUCAAUCAGUGCACAGGAAUUAAUGCCACAUCAAGUUUUAGCACAAGUUUUCUUCUUGUCUUCUCUGAAAGUCGGGUGUUUGGUUUCGAGGAUGUUUUAUCCAGGCUUUGGUUCUGACACAGCAAGACGAAGUGGAAAUGUUGGUGCUGCCUCCAGAUUGAGUGUCUCUCCUGGGAUUUAGCAAGGUCUGCAAAUCCAAAUAUCACAGUCUGGGCUUGAGAAGGUAUUUGUCAGAGAAUCCUGUGUCUCAGGAAUGUGGGAGGAGGCAGAGAAAAGGCAAGAAAAGAC
rnacentral:lncRNA from 1 species